GUGGGGAAUAUUGCACAAUGGGGGAAACCCUGAUGCAGCAACGCCGCGUGAGUGAAGAAGUAUUUCGGUAUGUAAAGCUCUAUCAGCAGGGAAGAAAGUGACGGUACCUGACUAAGAAGCCCCGGCUAACUACGUGCCAGCAGCCGCGGUAAUACGUAGGGGGCAAGCGUUAUCCGGAUUUACUGGGUGUAAAGGGAGCGUAGACGGCACAGCAAGUCUGAAGUGAAAUCCCCGGGCUAAACCCGGGAACUGCUUUGGAAACUGCUGGGCUGGAGUGCUGGAGAGGCAAGCGGAAUUCCUAGUGUAGCGGUGAAAUGCGUAGAUAUUAGGAGGAACACCAGUGGCGAAGGCGGCUUGCUGGACAGUAACUGACGUUGAGGCUCGAAAGCGUGGGGAGCAAACAGGAUUAGAAACCCUAGUAGUCC
rnacentral:rRNA from 1 species